rnacentral:rRNA from 1 species
GUAAGGAAUAUUGGUCAAUGGACGAAAGUCUGAACCAGUCAUGCCGCGUGAAGGAUGAAGGCCCUCUGGGUUGUAAACUUCUUUUAUCUGGGACGAAAAAAGGGUAUUCUUACUCACUUGACGGUACCAGAGGAAUAAGCACCGGCUAACUCCGUGCCAGCAGCCGCGGUAAUACGGAGGGUGCAAGCGUUAUCCGGAUUCACUGGGUUUAAAGGGUGCGUAGGUGGGUAUUUAAGUCAGUGGUGAAAUCUCCGAGCUUAACUCGGAAACUGCCAUUGAUACUAUUUACCUUGAAUGCCCUGGAGGUAAGCGGAAUAUGUCAUGUAGCGGUGAAAUGCUUAGAUAUGACAUAGAAAACCAAUUGCGAAGGCAGCUCACUAAGCUGUUACUGACGCUGAGGCACGAAAGCGUGGGGAGCAAACAGGAUUAGAAACCCCUGUAGUCC